UCUGGGACAAGCCCUGGAAACGGGGUCUAAUACCGGAUGAUACUUCCUCCCGCAUGGGGGGAGGUUGAAAGCUCCGGCGGUGCAGGAUGAGCCCGCGGCCUAUCAGCUUGUUGGUGGGGUGAUGGCCUACCAAGGCGACGACGGGUAGCCGGCCUGAGAGGGCGACCGGCCACACUGGGACUGAGACACGGCCCAGACUCCUACGGGAGGCAGCAGUGGGGAAUAUUGCACAAUGGGCGAAAGCCUGAUGCAGCGACGCCGCGUGAGGGAUGACGGCCUUCGGGUUGUAAACCUCUUUCAGCAGGGAAGAAGCGAAAGUGACGGUACCUGCAGAAGAAGCGCCGGCUAACUACGUGCCAGCAGCCGCGGUAAUACGUAGGGCGCAAGCGUUGUCCGGAAUUAUUGGGCGUAAAGAGCUCGUAGGCGGCUUGUCACGUCGGAUGUGAAAGCCCGGGGCUUAACCCCGGGUCUGCAUUCGAUACGGGCAGGCUAGAGUGUGGUAGGGGAGAUCGGAAUUCCUGGUGUAGCGGUGAAAUGCGCAGAUAUCAGGAGGAACACCGGUGGCGAAGGCGGAUCUCUGGGCCAUUACUGACGCUGAGGAGCGAAAGCGUGGGGAGCGAACAGGAUUAGAUACCCUGGUAGUCCACGCCGUAAACGUUGGGAACUAGGUGUUGGCGACAUUCCACGUCGUCGGUGCCGCAGCUAACGCAUUAAGUUCCCCGCCUGG
rnacentral:rRNA from 1 species